UACGUAGGGGGCAAGCGUUGUCCGGAUUUAUUGGGCGUAAAGAGCGUGUAGGCGGCCAUGUAGGUCCGGUGUGAAAACUCGAGGCUUAACCUCGAGAUGUCAUCGGAAACCAUUUGGCUAGAGUCCGGAAGAGGAAAGUGGAAUUCCUGGUGUAGCGGUGAAAUGCGCAGAUAUCAGGAAGAACACCAAUGGCGAAAGCAGCUUUCUGGGACGGUACUGACGCUGAGACGCGAAAGCGUGGGGAGCGAACAGG
rnacentral:rRNA from 1 species